rnacentral:lncRNA from 1 species
AUAUUUGUCCCGUUAUGUGAAGUGAGGUUAAAUAUGGUGUAAGUGGUGCUGCUAUUUGUGCUCGUGAUUUCCUUUGAGGAACUGAAGUCUCUUGCUGCUGCCUGUUGCAGUUAUCAAUCAUAUUUGAUGCAAUGCACCAUUUAUUUUGCAGGAGAUAUCGAUAAUGCUUGAAUCUGCAUCGUUGGAUAAUGUAUAAAGAGCAAUGACAGCCAAAACUCCCAAAAUAAUGCCGGAAGUCUAGACUCGGUUUCAAGUAUGUUUGGCUGUCGGUGCGUGAGCACUCAAGCUUCAUAAGUUGAGGACUCGUUAUCAUGAUGAAAAAGAGAUCAGCCAUUUGAAUGAGAGACAUACCCAUCAAGCAGGGGAUACCACGGAUUACGUCUGCUCUUGCUGUUUGCAGAGAGAUGUUAGCUCUUAAAUUAUGUUUUGUAUUGCUCUCCAGAUUAAUACCAUCGUUGGGUCAGUGAUACUUUUGCAAUAGAAGUACACUGUAUCCAUCGUUUUCAAAUUUCUUUUACUCUGUUGUAGUUACCAUCUAUCCAUAGCUAAUAAAGAAGUUGCUAGCCCUUGUCAAUUCAUGAUGAUUUGUUUUUUUCUCAUCUGCUAGUACACUGUAAAUAAACAUAUCGGUCUUCCUUCCAUUCAUGGCCAGAUGCUGAAUUGCAUCAAUAGCACCCUAUUGUUUGUAAGGAUUGGUGAGAAGUGAGAGACGGG